GGACCCUGUUGGGGCUAUAAUUGUGAGUACAGCCCACCUCCCUCCUGCUCUGUCCCUCCUUCCUGUUAUCAUUUUCUCCAUUACUGUACAUGAAUUAAUAGAGCAUGAAAUUAUACGCAUUUCAUUAGCAAUUGGCAUAGUUCUCUUCUACUUAUUUGAAAGUACCAUCUGGUAGCUUUCAGUGCAUUUCAGUCUCUGCUACAGACCAUCAUUGGGUUGACAGUAGGUAAGAUUACUAUUUAUUAACUUGAGCAUUUCAGCAUUUCGAAUGGUUUCACCGGAAACUGUGUACUCUCUGUAAACGUGGCAUGUCACUUUGUUUUAUCUACACAAUGGAUGGUGAACCCUGAGCUGUUAGACUUGUACAACAACAAGGGGCAAUAAAUUGGUUAAUGAUUUUGUUAUUCAUGAUAUGAAGCCGAACCCCAUCAAGAUACGUAUGUGUGUAGAACACUGACUUGAUUCUUUAAAUUGACGAAGGCUUGAUUUAAUGAUUGAAAUUAGCAUAGUAAGAGCUUUAGUUGUAACUCAAAAUACAUAUAACGUGAGGUUUGACAUUGCUGCAGCUGGCCUUGUACAC
rnacentral:misc_RNA from 1 species